UCCUGUUUCGGGCGCUCGACCUCCCUCCUCAGCGCACGACCUCCUUCGGCAGCUCACAUCGCACCGCAGCUCCUCCUCCCUCGAGCCUUCUCACAUCACACCAGAGUGGAAGGAGGUUGCACCGUCGCCGCUGCCUCUCCGCUCCACCGCCGCCAUCGCCGUGGUUCUUCAAAUUAGGGCUGUUGGGAUGUGAAAUUGGACGGGGAGGAGUGGCUGGCCAAGAGACAACUGGAGAAGGGCUUGAAGGUUUUGGGUCCAGAGAGAGAUGGCCUACGUGUUGGCAAAAGCGAACUGCUUGAAGAAGCUGUGGCGAUUUCUUCACGAAAUGAGCAAAAGGGGUGUCCCAAACGAGCUGGUGAAGACGAAUACUAUAAAUGCUGUCAUCAAGGUGCUGGGGGAGGAAGGCCUGGUGAAGGAAGCGUUGAUGGCAUUCUACAUAAUGAAGCAAUUCUGGUGCAAACCAGAUGUGGUUGCAUACAACACUGUGAUUGCAGCACUAUGCAGACUAGGAGACUUCAAGAAGGUCACAUUCAAAAUGGGAGUUCCUGGGUCUAGAUGUUCGCCUGAUGUCUGCCUAUGCUAGGCUCUCUUUGUGGCCUUUGUUAAUAUUUUCAGUUGUAUUUUGUAUAUUGUUGGUUCGAUAGUAGUUUUUAUUGAUAUAGCAACUGCUACGCCAUGUUUGAGUUUCACUGUUCUUCUUAAGUUGUAGUCAAUGUUCCACACAGAAGCUCUGAUAAUUUGAUUUGAGAAAUUCACUUCAAGUGAUAGA